rnacentral:rRNA from 1 species
AUAACGGUCCUAAGGUAGCGAAAUUCCUUGUCAGGUAAGUUCUGACCCGCACGAAUGGCGUAACGACUUGGGCGCUGUCUCAACAGCCCACCCGGCGAAAUUGUUGUACUGGUGAAGAAGCCAGUUACCCGCAACUAGACGGAAAGACCCCAUGGAGCUUUACUGUAGCUUAAUACUGGAAAUCGGUAAAUCAUGUACAGGAUAGGUGGGAGACUUGGAAGCCAGGGCGUCAGCUUUGGUGGAGUCACCCUUGGGAUACCACCCUUGAUUUGCUGGUUUUCUAACCUGCGGCCGUGAAUCCGGUCGGGGGACACUGUUAGGUGGGCAGUUUGACUGGGGCGGUCGCCUCCCAAAAGGUAACGGAGGCGCUCAAAGGUUCGUUCAGCACGGACGGAAACCGUGCAGUGAGUGUAAACGCAUAAACGAGCCUAACUGCGAGACCGACGGGUCGAGCAGUAACGAAAGUUGGAGUUAGUGAUCCGGCGGUAUGCAAGUGGAAGUGCCGUCGCUCAACGGAUAAAAGCUACCCUGGGGAUAACAGGCUGAUCUCCCCCAAGCGUCCACAGCGACGGGGAGGUUUGGCACCUCGAUGUCGGCUCGUCACAUCCUGGGGCUGUAUUCGGUCCCAAGGGUUCGGCUGUUCGCCGAUUAAAGUGGCACGCGAGCUGGGUUCAGAACGUCGUGAGACAGUUCGGUCCCUAUCUGUUGCGGGCGUAAGAGAUUUGAAGGGAGCUGUCCUUAGUACGAGAGGACCGGGAUGGACGUACCUCUGGUGCACCAGUUGUCCUGCCAAGGGCAUAGCUGGGUAGCUAUGUACGGACGAGAUAAACGCUGAAGGCAUCUAAGCGUGAAACUCCCCCUAAGAUUAGAUCUCUCAUUCGAAAGAAGUAAGGCACGACGUAGACUAUGUCGUUGAUAGGCCGGAGGUGGAAGCACGGUAACGUGUGCAGCUGACCGGUACUAAUAAGCCGAGGGCUUGACCUU